GGGCGUGGUGUAAUGGUUAGCACAUUAGUCCGGUCUACUGAAGAUGCUGGUUCGCUCCCAGCCGCCG
rnacentral:tRNA from 1 species